UUUGGUAAGCAGAACUGGCGAUGCGGGAUGAACCGAACGCCGCGCUAAGGUACCCAAGUGCCCGCUCAUCAGAGACCACAAAAGGCGUUGGUACCUCCAGACAGCAGGACGGGGGCCAUGGAAGUCGGAACCCGCUAAGGAGUGGGUAACAACUCACCUGCCGAAGGUACUAGCCCUGAAAAUGGAUGGCGCUCAAGUGGACCACCGAUGCGCGGCCGCCGGCGC
rnacentral:rRNA from 1 species